rnacentral:lncRNA from 10 species
GUAACCACUUGCUUUAUUAAUUAUGAGAUGAUUGAAAGAGGAACUACUAACCAAGAAAUUGGUAAAGGCCUAGCACAAAUAUUUUCCCCCUAAUUUUACAGGGGCGGGAAAGACCUGAAGAACUUCAAAACCAAGUGGGAAAUAAGAAUGGGUAACUUGUGUAUUUUUUUUUCCUGGCUUUUUUUUUUUCCUUCUUCCGAAGUCAACAAAGGCCUCAGGGUGUCCAGAUUGCUACUGAUUCAUUCUUACCAAGUUCCUUCUGGUAAUAGUUUUCAAAAGAGGAUCUCAGUGGAGGUGCACAGUGGCGCUCCUAGCUUUCUUUUUACGGAAAGGAGGAAAGGUGCUUGGCACCAGUCGGGGAAGCUCACGCCAAGUGACCGAGACCAGAACUCGCUCUCGACCGGAGCCCCCCAAGUCUGGUGACUUGGAGGAAGGAGGAUCCCGAAUCCCAGCCAGAACUGAGAAAGCCCUCAAAGGUGCGGAAAGGGGACUUUUCCCUCAGGAAAGCCGGCAACAGCAGAGGCCCUAGCCCACGUCGCCACACCCACUCCGCGCGCGCCCCUCGCCUCCCAGGGCCGGCUCUGCUCGGCCCCGCGGCCUCUCGGGCGCCCCCAGCCCGCCGGAAAGAAAGAAGCAGAAACCCGGAGCCUGGGUCCCACCCGCGACCCCUCACCUUCGCCCUUCUCGUCCUCUCACCUGCCAGUCCCCCAGGAAGAACAGGACGCCUCUUCCCCCUGAUGGGCGGCCACAGGCUCGGAUCCUUCCAUUGCCGCCUGAGACACCGCCGCCGGCUACUGGAAGGGGCGUCCUGGUUUCCGGUUUGGGUGUGGCCGCAUGGCGUGCUGUGGUGCAGGUGGCCGAAGGGGGCGUUACUGUUGCGACUGGCAUCCGCAUCCGGCAGAUGUAGAUGGAACCAAAGUCCAGAAGUUACGCGUCACCCUUGCUCUACAGCCAAACAUGCAGGACUCUAGUAACCCGCGAAAUGAUGGGAUAGCGUUGCAAAUCCUUAAAAGAGUCUUAACGAAAUCCUGGCUGACAUUGACUUCUCCACUGCAACCAUCGAGUUCAUUGUCUCCUAAACCUUGCCAUGGAGGCCUGUGGCACCUGAGCCAGCCAUUAUCAUCACCAGCACUUCCAUGAGCUACAAGCUGGACCCACUGCAGUCCUCCUGACACACUGAAAUCAGAGCCUGCACACAGAGCAGCAGAUGCUUCAAUGUAAAGGUCAUUUCCAGGUCCUUGACAGGCGUGCAUCUGGGCCAGAUCCAUGGCAAUAACCUUCAGGUUGAGGCUAGAGGGCUUCAGAUGGGCAGCUUCGAAUGACAGGAGCAAGGCACAAGAGGCCGGAAAGGGAGGGUGACAUUUUCAGCAUCUAUAAGAUCAACUUUAGAAACAUUUGGGGGUUGACAAAUUCCCAUCAAGCUCUGUGGAUCUUGUACAACUGCUCACCACCGGCUUCUCAUCAGCACAUGAUUGGUGCAGGGUUCUGAGGAUGAUUUUGAGAUGUUCCCUGAUGUGGUCUUGUGAGGAGAUUUCAUGACAGAUGGCAGGAAGCUUCGUGGAGAGAUUUCUGAAGACACUCCUGAGCUCCCAACACCGGGCAACUCUCUUCCAGAGGAUAGUGGGGUGGAGGGUAGAAGAGAGGCAAAGUCAGGUUUGUCCUUCGGAUCCCCUUCAUUCUCCUUUUGCCACCGUAAACCAACUUUUGCUUACAGUUAGACACCAGUUUUCGGCAGAUGAAAUCCCUCUGAUUUCAGGCAUUUUGUCAAUUAAGCUGCUCAGCAACAAUAGGAUAAACUUAUGAAAAGAAAGGAGUAGCAGUCCCACAGACAAAGCAUCCAGCCCCUGCACUGAGACAGUAUAGGGAAGGGACUUGGUCCUGGCAGACAGGACAGAUAAUCAACAUCCUAGUGGGCCUUACACAUGUGGGCAUAUUCUUUUCCAUACCUUCUUGUCUGUUUUAACAAGCUAACCCCAGUCACAGUAGCAGAGAGAGGGUCCAUCCUAACUUAGCUGACCAGGCUGGAUUCCUAAUCAUAAAACCAAAAAAGGAAGAACCUAACCAUUUCUCUCUUUCAGCUAUGUGUUCCAAGAUUACUGAAGCAGGAUUCUGGCCUUCCUGAUAAGAACAUGACCAGAUCCAGCUGGUUUGCAACAAGAUGAACUUCAGUGCUGAGCUUUCACCAAGUUUUUCUCACUACAAUCUCAUUGUAAUACUAAAAUCUCCACCCAAGAUGGAGGUUAUCUGCCAUUUUCUGUACAUGUGUUACCAGAAAGGGGUCCUGAUCCAGACCCCAAAAGAGGGUUCUUGGAUCUCACGCAACAAAGAGUUCGGGGCGAGUCCAUAGAGUAAAGUGAAAGCAAGUUCAUCAAGAAAGCAAAGGAAUAAAGAAUGCCUACUCCAUAGGCAGAGCAGUGGCUUUGGCUGCUCAGCUGCUUGUACUUGUUACUUCUUGAGUAUAUGCUAAACAAGGGAUUGAUUACUCCUUGUUUAGCAGUUUUCUGGGAAAGGAGUGGGCAAUUCCCAGAACUGAGGGUUCCUCCCCUUUUUAGACCAUAUAGGGUGACUUCCUGAUGUUGCCAUGGCAUUUGUAAACUGUCAUGGCGCUAGUGGGAGUGUCUUUUAGCAUGCUAAUGCAUGAGCAGUGAGGAUGACCCGAGGUCAUUUUUGUUACCAUCUUGGUUUUGGUGGGUUUUGGCUGGUUUUGGCCGGCUUCUUUACCACUUCUUUUUAUCAGCAAGGUCUUUGUGACCUGUACUUAGUGCCGACUUCCUGUCUCAUCCUGUGAGUAAGAAUGCCUAAUCUCUCAGGAAUGCAGCCCAGUAGGUCUCAACCUUAUUUUACCCAGCCCCCAUUCAAGAUGGAGUGACUCUGGUUCAAAUGCCUCUGACACAUGUGCCUCAUGUUUGGGCAUGAGACCUCACUGUGUAGGUGCAGAGAAGACCCUGCCUAAACAUUGCCUACACGUUGCUCCUUUUUCCUGCCUCAACUUCCUUAAAAUGACAAGAGCAGAGCCCUUUUGGGAGCUAACAUCAGGACUCCUUUUCUGUACUCUGCUCCGUUGUGCUGCUAGAGCCACAAGCCUAUUAAACUUUGCCUGAAAUAAAUUCCUAUUUGCGCUGGUGUUAAUUUUUACUUAUGAGUGAGCCAAGAACUCAGGCCAGAGUUGCGGUAACACCACCAGAAGAGGUCUCCGCUUGUCAGACUUGAGGGAUAUCAUCAAUGAGCCUCUGAGCUAAUGGUGUAAACCAAAAAUAAAAUUCUAAGCCCCCCGCCAGCCAAACCAUCUGAAUGGACUUCCUCCUCAGCCAGGGUGCUCUUAAAAUUUAACCUGAGAGACUGGUUCAGGUCAUGAUGGGAAGUAGGGGUUGGACAUGCCUCAUUAUACCUCUCCAGCAUUAACAUCAACAUAAACCCUAAGUCUAAGAAAUUUUUACAACCUAUUCUCUCUGAAGCUGACUACCUUGGAGGCUUCAUCUGUUUCAUAAAAUUUUGGUCUCCACAACCUCUUACUUCAACCCAGAUAUUUCCUUUCUAUUGAUCCCAGGUCUUUAGAUAAACUUAACCAAUUGUCAACCAAAAAAUUUUUAAAUCUGCCUAUAAACUGGAAGCUCCGCACUCCGCUCCCCUCCCCUCCCCGCCCUUCGAGUUGUCCUGCCUUUCUGGACAGAACCAAUGUAUUUCUUAAAUGUACUUGAAGUCUCAUGUCUCCCUAAAAUGUAUAAAACCCAGCUGCUCCCUGACCACCUUGGGUACAUGUUUUCAGGGUCUCCUGAGGGCUGUGUCAUGGGUUAUAGUCACUCAAAUUUGGCUUAGAAUAAAUCUCUCCAAAUAUUUUACAAAGUUUGACUCUUUUCUUCGAUAACGGAAACACAUGAUGCCUAGAUAGGGAGUGAACUAAGUGUCUCCUAAGGUCACUG